rnacentral:rRNA from 1 species
GACGAACCGUCCAAACGUUAUUCGGAAUCACUGGGCUUAAAGGGUGCGUAGGCGGCGCGGAAAGUUGGGUGUGAAAUCCCUCGGCUCAACCGAGGAACUGCGCCCAAAACUACCGUGCUUGAGGGAGAUAGAGGUGAGCGGAACUUAGGGUGGAGCGGUGAAAUGCGUUGAUAUCCUAAGGAACACCGGUGGCGAAAGCGGCUCACUGGAUCUCUUCUGACGCUGAGGCACGAAAGCUAGGGUAGCGAACGGG